UACGUAGGUGGCGAGCGUUAUCCGGAUUUACUGGGUGUAAAGGGCGCGUAGGCGGAUCAGCAAGUCAGAUGUGAAAUCCAUGGGCUUAACUCAUGAACUGCAUUUGAAACUGUUGAUCUUGAGUGCUGGAGAGGUAGACGGAAUUCCUAGUGUAGCGGUGAAAUGCGUAGAUAUUAGGAAGAACACCGGCGGCGAAGGCGGUCUACUGGACAGUAACUGACGCUGAGGCGCGAAAGCGUGGGGAGCAAAC
rnacentral:rRNA from 1 species